rnacentral:rRNA from 1 species
UGCUGGAGGUAUCAGAAGUGCGAAUGCUGACAUAAGUAACGAUAAAGCGGGUGAAAAGCCCGCUCGCCGGAAGACCAAGGGUUCCUGUCCAACGUUAAUCGGGGCAGGGUGAGUCGACCCCUAAGGCGAGGCCGAAAGGCGUAGUCGAUGGGAAACAGGUUAAUAUUCCUGUACUUGGUGUUACUGCGAAGGGGGGACGGAGAAGGCUAUGUUGGCCGGGCGACGGUUGUCCCGGUUUAAGCGUGUAGGCUGGUUUUCCAGGCAAAUCCGGAAAAUCAAGGCUGAGGCGUGAUGACGAGGCACUACGGUGCUGAAGCAACAAAUGCCCUGCUUCCAGGAAAAGCCUCUAAGCAUCAGGUAACAUCAAAUCGUACCCCAAACCGACACAGGUGGUCAGGUAGAGAAUACCAAGGCGCUUGAGAGAACUCGGGUGAAGGAACUAGGCAAAAUGGUGCCGUAACUUCGGGAGAAGGCACGCUGAUACGUAGG